GACAGAGGUGGCAAGCGUUGUUCGGAUUCAUUGGGUGUAAAGGGCAGGUAGGUGGCUAAGUAAGUCUGGUGUGAAAUCCCAGGGCUCAACCCUGGAACUGCAUUGGAAACUGCUUGGCUUGAGUACCGGAGAGGUGAGGGGAAUUCUCGGUGUAGCGGUGAAAUGCGUAGAUAUCGAGAGGAACACCUGCGGCGAAGGCGGGUUGCUGGGCUGACACUGACGCUGAUGCGCGAAAGCCAGGGGAGCGAACGGG
rnacentral:rRNA from 1 species